rnacentral:rRNA from 1 species
GACGAACGCUGGCGGCGUGCUUAACACAUGCAAGUCGAACGGAAAGGCCAUGCUUUUGUGGGUUGCUCGAGUGGCGAACGGGUGAGUAAAACGCGAGUAUCAUGUACUUGUCUUUGGGAUAACUUCAGGAAACUGGGGCUCAUAUCGGAUAGGAGCUCCUGCUGCAUGGUGGGGGUUGGAAAGUUUCGGCGGUUGGGGAUGGAAUGGCGGCUUAUGAGCUUGUUGGUGGGGUAGUGGAUUACGAAGGCUGUGACGGGUAGCCGGCCUGAGAGGGUGACCGGGCACAAGAGGACUAAGGGACGGACCAGUCUCCAACGGGAGGCAGCAGUGGAGAGUAUUGCGCAGUGAGCGGAAGCCAGAGACGGCGACGCCGCGUGCGUAAUGACGGGCUUCGGGUUGUGAACCGCUGUCGCCUGAAACGAAGCGGGAGUGACGGUAAUGAGUAAGAAAGCACCGGCUAACUACGUG